GGCGGCUCGAGUGGUGGCCACUAUUACUGGGCUUAAAGCGUUCGUAGCUGGUCUGUUAAGUCUCUGGGGAAAUCUACUGGCUUAACCAAUAGGCGUCUCGGGGAUACUGGCAGACUAGGGACCGGGAGAGGUGAGAGGUACUCCAGGGGUAGGAGUGAAAUCCUGUAAUCCUUGGGGGACCACCUGUGGCGAAGGCGUCUCACCAGAACGGCUCCGACAGUGAGGGACGAAAGCUGGGGGAGCAAACC
rnacentral:rRNA from 1 species